rnacentral:misc_RNA from 1 species
CGCACCUUGCGCCUCUUGGUAUUCCGAGAGGCAUGCCUGUUUGAGUGUCAUGAAACAUCAAUCCCCGAGGGUUUUUCCUCGGUGGACUUGGAACUGGGCGCUGCCUCCCAAGGCUCGCCUCAAAUGACUUAGUGGGAACUUCUUGACCUACGCCUGACGUAAUAAGUUUCGUCUCGGCCGGUCCUGAGGCCCGCUCACAACAACCCAUACCUUUUAACAUUGACCUCAAAUCAAGUAGGGCUACCCGCUGAACUUAA